GGUUUUACCUUCAGGAAGGGAUCCCCCAGCCAGUGUCAGUUCCCCAGGAUGGUGCUGCUCUGCUCAGAAAUGCCAGUAUUUCAGCUGGACAGAAGCAGAAUGUGGCUUUUUAUCAACAAGCAAAACUUUCCAGAUUUUUCUGUGAAGGAAAAGCCUAAAAAAUAUUUUGAAGUUG